rnacentral:rRNA from 1 species
CCUACCAUGGUGGUGACAGGCGACGGAGAAUUAGGGUUCGAUUCCGGAGAGGGAGCCUGAUAAACGGCUACCACAUCCAAGGAAGGCAGCAGGCGCGCAAAUUACCCAAUCCCGACACGGGGAGGUAGUGACAAUAAAUAACAAUACGGGGUUCUUUAGGAUCUCGUAAUUGGAAUGAGUACAAUUUAAAUCUCUUAACGAGGAACAAUUGGAGGGCAAGUCUGGUGCCAGCAGCCGCGGUAAUUCCAGCUCCAAUAGCGUAUAUUAAAGUUGUUGCAGUUAAAAAGCUCGUAGUUGAAUUUCGGGGUUAGUAGGUUGGUCAUGCCUCUGGUAUGUACUGGUCUCACUGAUUCCUCCUUCCUGAUGAACCUUAAUGCCAUUAAUUUGGUGUUUUGGGGAAUUUGGACUGUUACUUUGAAAAAAUUAGAGUGUUUAAAGCAAGCUAACGCUUGAAUACAUUAGCAUGGAAUAAUGAAAUAGGACGUUCGAUCCUAUUUUGUUGGUUUCUAGGAUUGACGUAAUGAUUAAUAGGGAUAGUUGGGGGCAUUAGUAUUCAAUUGUCAGAGGUGAAAUCCUUGGAUUUAUUGAAGACUAACUACUGCGAAAGCAUUUGCCAAGGAUGUUUUCAUUAAUCAAGAACGAAAGUUAGGGGAUCGAAGACGAUCAGAUACCGUCGUAGUCUUAACCAUAAACUAUGCCGACUAGGGAUCGGAUGAUGUUAAUUUUUUAAUGACUCAUUCGGCGCCUUACGGGAAACC